CGUUCCCCUAUGCUUCCCCCAUUCCUCCCUCCCCCUGGUCCUGGGCUCCUGCGCAGCUUGUCCUGUCCCGGAGGAGGGACGCCUUCUGGGACCCCCCAGACCUGGGAUGGAGAGCCUGGAGGAGUGCGGAGAGGACGCGGGGCUGCAGCCCGGCAAGCCCGCCCAGGCCUACGUGACGUUCAAGGAUGUGGCCGUGGACUUCACCUGGGAGGAGUGGAGGCUCCUGGACCCUCCCCAGAAGGAGCUGUUCUGGGAGGUGAUGCUGGAGAACUACAGGAACCUGGUCUGCCUGGGUGAGGAGGGCUCUUCUGGGCCUUGGGAUCUGCCCAUGGAAGGGGAUGUGCUUCCUUCUCCUGGGCCCUGUCCAGGGUGCAGCUGGGAUUCUCUGGCCUGUAAUGGCCUGAGCACUUAUGCUAACCAGGCCAAAAGCCAGGCUGAAAGGCUCUCGUUUUGUUUGUCUAGCAAUGAAGGGCUUUACUGUGUGGUCCCAGCCCAGCUCUGCUCCCUCAGACCACAGGGACCUUCUCAAGGCUCAGGGGAAGUACUUGAAGUCAGCCAAGCUCCCAAUACCUCAGUAUUGAAUGGAUCGAAUGAACCCUUGUCUUUCAGAACCCCCCUCCAUUCCUUGUUCCAGUCCUGUGUCUUCCCAGGAAAACAAACCAGAGCAGCCUUGAGAUGUUUUCUCUAAGCAUCUCCAUGACACCCAGGCUCUAUACUAGCUUGUUCCUAAGGGCCUGGGAGAUCAUCCUCCAUCUUCAUCUCUGACCUGUCAGAACCGUAAAUAUACCAAAUCCUAGCAGGGAGGCCUAAUGAGCUGGUCAGCCUUGAGAAACUUGUCAGAACCAUCAAUAGGCCAAACCGCCAGCUGCAGUAGAUACCAGAUAAAGGCCAGGAAGAGCCCAACAAAUAUGUCAAACAACAGGUCAGGG
rnacentral:lncRNA from 1 species